rnacentral:rRNA from 1 species
CCUACGGGGGGCUGCAGUGAGGAAUAUUGGUCAAUGGGCGCGAGCCUGAACCAGCCAAGUCGCGUGAGGGAAGACGGUCCUAUGGAUUGUAAACCUCUUUUGUCGGGGAGCAAAAGACGCCACGCGUGGCGUUCCGAGAGUACCCGAAGAAAAAGCAUCGGCUAACUCCGUGCCAGCAGCCGCGGUAAUACGGGGGAUGCGAGCGUUAUCCGGAUUUAUUGGGUUUAAAGGGUGCGCAGGCGGAAGAUCAAGUCAGCGGGAAAAUUGAGAGGCUCAACCUCUUCGAGCCGUUGAAACUGGUUUUCUUGAGUGAGCGAGAAGUAUGCGGAAUGCGUGGUGUAGCGGUGAAAUGCAUAGAUAUCACGCAGAACUCCGAUUGCGAAGGCAGCAUACCGGCGCUCAACUGACGCUCAUGCACGAAAGUGUGGGUAUCGAACAGGAUUAGAUACCCGAGUAGUC